ACUCCUACGGGAGGCAGCAGUAGGGAAUCUUCCACAAUGGGCGCAAGCCUGAUGGAGCAACACCGCGUGAGUGAAGAAGGGUUUCGGCUCGUAAAGCUAUGUUGUUAAAGAAGAACACGUAUGAGAGUAACUGUUCAUACGUUGACGGUAUUUAACCAGAAAGUCACGGCUAACUACGUGCCAGCAGCCGCGGUAAUACGUAGGUGGCAAGCGUUAUCCGGAUUUAUUGGGCGUAAAGAGAGUGCAGGCGGUUUUCUAAGUCUGAUGUGAAAGCCUUCGGCUUAACCGGAGAAGUGCAUCGGAAACUGGAUAACUUGAGUGCAGAAGAGGGUAGUGGAACUCCAUGUGUAGCGGUGGAAUGCGUAGAUAUAUGGAAGAACACCAGUGGCGAAGGCGGCUACCUGGUCUGCAACUGACGCUGAGACUCGAAAGCAUGGGUAGCGAACAGGAUUAGAUACCCUGGUAGGAUAGCG
rnacentral:rRNA from 1 species